UGGGGAAUAUUGGACAAUGGGCGAAAGCCUGAUCCAGCAAUGCCGCGUGAGUGAUGAAGGCCUUAGGGUUGUAAAGCUCUUUUACCCGGGAUGAUAAUGACAGUACCGGGAGAAUAAGCUCCGGCUAACUCCGUGCCAGCAGCCGCGGUAAUACGGAGGGAGCUAGCGUUGUUCGGAUAUACUGGGCGUAAAGCGCACGUAGGCGGCGUGGUAAGUCAGGGGUGAAAUCCCGGAGCUCAACUCCGGAACUGCCCUUGAAACUGCUGUGCUAGAAUCUUGGAGAGGCGAGUGGAAUUCCGAGUGUAGAGGUGAAAUUCGUAGAUAUUCGGAAGAACACCAGUGGCGAAGGCGACUCGCUGGACAAGUAUUGACGCUGAGGUGCG
rnacentral:rRNA from 1 species